GACGAACGCUGGCGGCGUGCUUAACACAUGCAAGUCGAACGCUGAUGCACUAGCUUGUUGGUGUAGAUGAGUGGCGAACGGAUGAGUAAUACGCGAGUAAACUGCCCUCGACUUUGGGAUAAGCACGGGAAACUGGGUCUAAUACUGGAUGCUACACAUCACCGCAUGGUGGCGUGUGGAAAGGGCUUACUGGUCUUGGAUGGGCUCACGGCUUAUCAGCUUGUUGUUGAGGUAAUGUAUCACCAAGGCGACGGCGGGUAGCCGCCCGUAGAGAGUGACCGGCCACACAGUGACUGAGACACGGCCCAAACUCCUACGGGAGGCAGCAGUGGGGAAUAUUGCACAAUGGGCGAAAGGCUGAUGCAGAGACGCCGCGUGAGGGAUAACGGCCUUCGUGUUGUAGACCUCGUACAGCAGGGAAGAAGCCACAAGUGACGGUACCUACAGAGGAAGCGCCGGCUAACUACGUG
rnacentral:rRNA from 1 species